GACCCGUCUUGAAGCAAGGAGUCUAACAUGUGCGCGAGUCAUUGAGCGUGACUAAACUCAAAGGCGCAAUGAAAGUGAAGGUUCGCGCAUUUUGGCCGAACCGAGGGGAGAUCCGCGGUCGCUUCGCGCGGCCCGGCGCAUCCCCGGGGCGUCUCGUCCGCAUUUACGCGGUGAGGCGCACCUAGAGCGCACACGUUGGGACCCGAAAGAUGGUGAACUAUGCCUGGCCAGGACGAAGCCAGGGGAAACCCUGGUGGAGGUCCGUAGCGAUUCUGACGUGCAAAUCGAUCGUCGGAGCUUGGUAUAGGGGCGAAAGACUAAUCGAACCAUCGUAGCUGGUUCCUUCCGA
rnacentral:rRNA from 1 species